rnacentral:rRNA from 1 species
GACGAACGCUGGCGGCGUGCUUAACACAUGCAAGUCGAGCGGAAAGGCCCUUUCGGGGGUACUCGAGCGGCGAACGGGUGAGUAACACGUGAGUAAUCUGCCCUUGGCUUUGGGAUAACUACCGGAAACGGUGGCUAAUACCGGAUAUGACCAUGCUCGGCAUCGGGUGUGGUGGAAAGUUUUUUCGGCCAGGGAUGUGCUCGCGGCCUAUCAGCUUGUUGGUGGGGUAAUGGCCUACCAAGGCUUCGACGGGUAGCCGGCCUGAGAGGGUGACCGGCCACACUGGGACUGAGACACGGCCCAGACUCCUACGGGAGGCAGCAGUGGGGAAUAUUGGACAAUGGGCGGAAGCCUGAUCCAGCAACGCCGCGUGAGGGAUGACGGCCUGGUUGUAAACGUCCUUCAGUACCGACGAAG